rnacentral:rRNA from 1 species
GUGCCAGCAGCCGCGGUAAUACGGAGGGUGCAAGCGUUAAUCGGAAUUACUGGGCGUAAAGCGUGCGCAGGCGGUUUGUUAAGUUAGGCGUGAAAUCCCCGGGCUCAACCUGGGAACUGCGUUUAUGACUGGCAAGCUAGAGUAUGGCAGAGGGGGGUGGAAUUCCACGUGUAGCAGUGAAAUGCGUAGAUAUGGGGAGGAACACCGAUGGCGAAGGCAGCCCCCUGGGCCAAUACUGACGCUGAGGCACGAAAGCGUGGGUAGCAAAAAGGAUUAGAUACCCCUGUAGUCCACGCCGUAA